ensembl:lncRNA
CAUGCAGGAAAGUGCACAUGAAGGGAAAAAAAUGGCUUUGCUAAAUCCAGUCCUAUGGAAAGCGGAGUCCUGUGUAGCUCCUAAGUACAAAGGAAGAAAUAGUUGAAAAUAAUCUACUUUAGUUGAAUUAAGGAAGCUAAGUAUUACUGCAGGAACCUAAGAAAAACCCCUUUGACUUCCUGGAAACUGAAAGAAGUUUUUUUGAAGAAGUAAUUGUCUCUGACAUCACUACAGUGCAUUGUGAGUUUGUGAGUGGUUAGUUAGGGUAACAGAGGAAGCAACUCCUUCACAGAUAAGCUGGCAGUGCAAUGUAUGUGCCUAGUUAGUCUCCUUCUGGGUUCAAGUUUUGUGAAGAAAUUCUUUUGCAGAGAGAUAACGUUUAUUUUGCUUUCUAGAGAGAGACACAUGCUGUUUCAUAAGGAUACACCUGAUUUCCAGAAAUAACCAUGUUUUUGUGGCUUAAACUCUUAGCAUUUGGUGUUGCAUUUCUGGGACAGGAUGCUUUUCUCAAAGGGCAGGAGACAACAACGAUCGCACCUGGUGCCAGCCUCGCACACAGCACGCACUUCUCCAGCCCCGGCACGGCCCCGAGCAGCCCGGCACGCAGCAGCAGCCCUGCUGCCCUCACCGCACGCACCCCCUCUGCCUUCGGGGAUGCUUCUGCAGGUUUGCUGUCCUCCCUUAGAAACUCUAGGGGAAAACGAAGCCAUUCAGCACCAGGGUAGCCUUUUUCAGCUCGUGGCUCAUCAAAUGGAGAAGGUGUUGGUGCUUUGGCAUGGUGGCAAUGCCAGGACUGUGUGCAGGAUCUGGUAUUGGAGGGCCCGGUCUGGUUUCUGAGGGCUGAGUCUUGCUGUCACCACAGUAGUAUCAAAAUGCCAGCUGCUGCCAACAAGGCUGUCCGCAAAUCAAGAACAGUAGGAAUGAGCCUAAAAGUGAAUAUAGAGAUCUGUCAGUGGUUUAUAAACAGGGAGAUAAAGAAUGAAGUAUAGUAAGAAAUAUAGUGAGCAAGAUGCAUGAUCCAGCAAAUGAGCACUACCUAGAGUUUCUGUUUAUGAAACAGCACACACACUAUUCAUAAUUGUGUUUUACUGUAAGAAUAUAGCAAAAUGUUCUAGUUUUUCCCAGUUCACAGAUUGUAACACUAUUUUUAUUUUGACUUCAUCUGGAAUUAUGACUAAAUAUUGACCAAAAAAAUUGUCAUUGUACAUUGCAAAAUUCAUUUGAAAGUGGUAUGCUCCAAAAAUUUGCUUUCUACUUAAAUACUCUUUUUUUUUGUUUAUGUAAUAUAUUAACAUCACUUUUCUUUCAGCAGUCUUCUCUAAAUUACAAAAAUCCCAUAAGAAAAAACAAAACCAGGGAAGUGCUGUAGUGUAGGAUAUUUCUGAUGAAAAAGCCAUAUGAAAGAAUGAAUUUCAAUUUUAAUGUUGAUAUGUUGUUUAUUUUCUUACAGAUGAUAACAAUUCAACAUCCUUGCACAGCACCACCUCAUCAGUCAACAUGCCAGCAAGCACUGGGAUCAGCCCCACUCUCAGCUCCACUCACACAAUAGGUGACAAACU